UUAAGUUCAGCGGGUAGUCCUACCUGAUUUGAGGUCAAAUAAUCAGAAGUUGUCCACAAACGGACGAUUGGAAGCUGAACACACAUAGAAAGCAGUCUGUCUUGGGCGCAGAUAAUUAUCACACCGGCAACUGACCGCAAACGGUUCUGCUAAUACAUUUUAGGGGAGCUGACCUCAAAACAGAGGCCUGCAGUAAGUAC
rnacentral:misc_RNA from 1 species